GUGACUGUAGCUCAAUGGCAGAGCGCCAGCCUGUGGAGCUGGUUGUUGCGGGUUCGAUUCCCGUCAGUCACC
rnacentral:tRNA from 1 species